GAUGAACGCUGGCGGCGUGCCUAAUACAUGCAAGUCGAGCGAAUGGAUUAAGAGCUUGCUCUUAUGAAGUUAGCGGCGGACGGGUGAGUAACACGUGGGUAACCUGCCCAUAAGACUGGGAUAACUCCGGGAAACCGGGGCUAAUACCGGAUAACAUUUUGAACCGCAUGGUUCGAAAUUGAAAGGCGGCUUCGGCUGUCACUUAUGGAUGGACCCGCGUCGCAUUAGCUAGUUGGUGAGGUAACGGCUCACCAAGGCAACGAUGCGUAGCCGACCGUAGAGGUGGAUCGGCCACACUGGGCCUGAGACACGGGCCAGAAUCCUACGGGAGGCAGCAGUAGGGAAUCUUCCGGAAUGGACGAAAGUCUGACGGAGCAACGCCGCGUGAGUGAUGAAGGCUUUCGGGUCGUAAAACUCUGUUGUUAGGGAAGAACAAGUGCUAGUUGAAUAAGCUGGCACCUUGACGGUACCUAACCAGAAAGCCACGGCUAACUACGUGCCAGCCGCCGCUGUAA
rnacentral:rRNA from 1 species